UAACACGUAAACAACCUGCCUUCAGGAUGGGGACAACAGACGGAAACGACUGCUAAUACCGAAUAAGUUCCAAGAGCCGCAUGGCCCAUGGAAGAAAAGGUAGGCCUCUACCUGUAAGCUAUCGCCUGAAGAGGGGUUUGCGUCUGAUUAGCUGGUUGGAGGGGUAACGGCCCACCAAGGCGACGAUCAGUAGCCGGUCUGAGAGGAUGAACGGCCACACUGGAACUGAGACACGGUCCAGACUCCUACGGGAGGCAGCAUG
rnacentral:rRNA from 1 species